UAAAAUAAUUAAGGGCACACAAAGGAUGCCUAGGUAGUAAGAGCCGAUGAAGGACGUGGUAAGCUGCGAUAAGCCUAGAUAAGUUGCAAUCGAACGUAAGAGUCUAGGAUUUCCGAAUGGAGCAAUCUAUUAAGAUGGAGUCUUAAUACGAAAGAGGGAACCGCGUGAACUGAAACAUCUAAGUAACGCGAGGAAAAGAAAGUAAAAACGAUACCCAAAGUAGCGGCGAGCGAAAUGGGUCAAGCCUAAACCUUAAAUAUGUCAAGGAUACAGCCGUUGUAUUUAAGGGGUUGAGGGACAGAGUAGUGAAGAACUGUAAGAUAUUCAAUAUAGUGUAUUGAUGAAUUGGAAUUGUCUGGAAAGGCGAACCGUAGAAGGUGAAAGUCCUGUACAAGUAAAUCCUUACACAUAUAACUCUGCUCCCAAGUAACAUGGAACACGAGGAAUUCUGUGUGAAUCUGUGAGGACCAUAUCUCAUAAGGCUAAAUACUCUUACUAACCGAUAGCGCAUAGUACCGUGAGGGAAAGGUGAAAAGAACCCCUGGAGGGGAGUGAAAUAGAACCUGAAAUUGUGUGCUUACAAGCGGUCAGAGCCAGUAAUGGUGAUGGCGUGCCUUUUGGAGAAUGAUCCUGCGAGUUACGUUAAACGGCGAGGUUAAGUAUAACGGAGCCGAAGGGAAACCAAGUCUUAAUAGGGCGAUUUAGUCGUUUGGCGUAGACGCGAAACCUGGUGAUCUAAACCUGUCCAGGAUGAAGCUGUGGUAAGACACAGUGGAGGUCCUAACCCACCGCCGUUGAAAAGUUGGGGGAUGAGGUAGGUUUAGGGGUGAAAAGCCAAUCGAACCAGGAGAUAGCUCGUUCUCUCCGAAAUGCAUCUAGGUGCAGCCUUGAGUGUUCAAUUAUGGGGGUAGAGCACUGAAUGAUCUAGGGGGCGUAUUGCUUACUGAAAUCAAUCAAACUCCGAAUACCAUAAUUUAGAGCUCAGGAGUGAGACUAUGGGAGUUAACUUCCAUUGUCGAAAGGGAAACAACCCAGACCACCAGCUAAGGUCCCUAAUUAUAACUAAGUGGGAAAGGAGGUGGAGAUUCACAAACAACUAGGAGGUUGGCUUAGAAGCAGCCAUACCUUUAAAGAGUGCGUAAUAGCUCACUAGUCGAGAGUCUCUGCGCCGACAAUGUAACGGGGCUAAGUUAUAAACCGAAGCUGUGGAAUCCGUAAGGAUUGGUAGGAGAGCGUUCUGUAGGCCAUUGAAGAAGAAGGGUAACCGACUUUGGAGGUAUCAGAAGUGAGAAUGCAGGAAUAAGUAGCGAGAAAGGGGGCGAGAAUCCCCCUCGCCGGAAGACCAAGGUUUUCAGGGUAAAGCUUGUCUUCCCUGAGUAAGCCGGGACCUAAGCCCAGGCUAUAAUGCGUAGGCGAAUGGAAAACAGAUUAAUAUUUCUGUGCCAGUCAUAUAUUGUGAUGGAGGGACGCAGAAGGGUAUGCGCGCGGACGAACGGAAGUGUCCGUAGAAGUAUGUAGGAUGACUUGAUAGGUAAAUCCAUUGAGUUAUAUCUGAGGUAUGAUAUACAGUCGUAAGAUGAAUGUGCAAAUCCCACGCUGCCAAGAAAAGCUUCUAACGUUAAUAUUUGACUGCCCGUACUGUAAACCGACACAGGUGGUCAGGAUGAGAAAUCUAAGGCGGACAGGCUAACUCUCGUUAAGGAACUCUGCAAAAUAACCUCGUAACUUCGGGAGAAGAGGAGCCCUUGGGUGUUAGUAUCCAUGCGUUACAAAGCACUCGAGGGUCGCAGUGAAGAGGCUCAAGCAACUGUUUAACAAAAACACAGGUCUAUGCUAAGCUGGAAGGCGAUGUAUAUGGGCUGACACCUGCCCAGUGCUGGAAGGUUAAGAGGAGGAGUGAGAGCUCCGAAUUGAAGCCCCAGUGAACGGCGGCCGUAACUAUAACGGUCCUAAGGUAGCGAAAUUCCUUGUCGGGUAAGUUCCGACCUGCACGAAUGGUGUAAUGAUUUGAGCGCUGUCUUGACGGGAGGCCUGGUGAAAUUGUAUUACCGGUGAAGAUACCGGUUACCUACAGUAGGACGGAAAGACCCCAUGGAGCUUUACUGUAGCUUGGUAUUGGGUUUUGGCAUUGCAUGUAUAGGAU
rnacentral:rRNA from 1 species